UAAGCCUACUUUUUUCUCAUUUUACUUUCGCAUUAUUAUUAUUAUUAUUAUUACUAUUAUUGUUUAUUAUCUGUUUACGGCAAUCAUUGUGGUUAAUUUUGAAUUCCAAUGUGUAUCAUUCCCACCCCAUAAUUGCCAAGGUGAAAUCUUAAUUUUCAUUUUAAUCUAACAUCCCGAACCCCCACAUAAACACUUCUCUAGAUCAGUACUUGGUUUGUUUCGGGCCACGCUAAUCAAGUAUUAGCAAAAUACCAUUAAAAGAGGUCCGAUUUAUACUGACUGCUGCCGGAGAAAAAAGGAAAAAGAAAACAGUAACCUUCCUUUUCUCUUCCUGUUUCCUGAGUGGUCAGAUCAAGUAAAAGAGCUGUAAAUACCAUGGCUGUUUUUCAACUUCUUGUUGGUCUUUAAAACCAUCUAUACCUUUCUCGAUCCCUCCCUGAUGAGUUUGCGUGCACUCCCUCAGGUUUACUGGGGGAUUAGCAGCAUUUUUGCUGUUAUGGCCAACAGUCACGGAGCAGAUUCAGUCGACUCGCAAAUUUCAAGGUAAUCUCUAGUCAAAUUGCCCGUCUGCUGGGUGGUAGUGCAUUUGUUUCUCUUGAUUCGGCACUCUUCUGGCUACUUUCCCUUAUGUCAGCCGAUAAUGCCCGAGAAGGCUACUUUGACGAGGUGGAAAGUGAUUGCAAGGGUGAGCAUGGUCAGGUUCUAACAGAUGAAUAUGAUGAUGAUGAUGCAUCCGCACAUCUCAAGGGCGCUGCAUAAGUGGGAUGGCCUGUUGUAUGUCUUUGGCUUUAGAUUCUCCUGUGUCUAUUUGCUUCCAAUUCACGCUAAUCCAUCCCAUCAAAAUCAGAUGGUUUUGUUAUUUUAAUUGGGCUGGCUUUAUUUUUAGCCUGCAGCUGGAAUUCCUAUUCCUGGAAAAAGUGGUGUUGUUUGCAAGUAUCCUUCUGAUCCCAAUGUUGUCUUGGGAUAUCUAUCUUUUGCAUUUCUUUUAUAUCUUCAGUCGCUGGCUAUCUCUCUCCCUCUCUCUCUUUUAUCCUUAUAAAGGCAAAUCUGUUCCUCACUCUGCCCUCUUUUGAAGUUCCACUUUCUCCGUCUUCUUCAGCAUUUCCUUGUAAGCCUACUUUUUUCUCAUUUUACUUUCGCAUUAUUAUUAUUAUUAUUAUUACUAUUAUUGUUUAUUAUCUGUUUACGGCAAUCAUUGUGGUUAAUUUUGAAUUCCAAUGUGUAUCAUUCCCACCCCAUAACAUAAUUGCCAAGGUGAAAUUUUAAUUUUCAUUUUAAUCUAACAUCCUGAACCCCCACAUAAACACUUCUCUAGAUCAGUACUUGGUUUGUUUCGGGCCACGCUAAUCAAGUAUUAGCAAAAUACCAGUAAAAGAGGUCCAAUUUAUACUGACUGCUGCCGGAGAAAAAAGAAAAAAGAAAACAGUAACCUUCUUUUUCUCUUCCUGUUUCCUGAGUGGUCAGAUCAAGUAAAAGAGCUGUAAAUACCAUGGCUGUUUUUCAACUUGUUGGUCUUUAAAACCAUCUAUACCUUUCUCGAUCCCUCCCUGAUGAGUUUGCGUGCACUCCCUCAGGUUUACUGGGGAAUUAGCAGCAUUUUUGCUGUUAUGGCCAACAGUCACGGAGCAGAUUCAGUCGACUCGCA
rnacentral:lncRNA from 1 species